ACUUUUAGAAAUAGCAGCCAAAGAAUUUGGCUAUUUCUUCUACUUUAAGCAGAGUCUCCCUGACAAUGUAUACUCGAAAACAUUACAGGUCGGUAUAGAGGGAAAAAUAACGAAAGUUAUAUAUCCACAUGUAUAUUUACAUACAGAGACAUGCAUGCAUACAUACAAAACCCAGAAGAACAAGCAGUAAGUUAGUCAACAGGUAUAAGGUAAAUAUACCAGCAAGGGUAUGUUUCCUUCUUCCUCAAGACCAAAAUCUUCGAUUCUUCUAAAUAUCCAUUAUAGAGGUAAAUAAUUCGAAAAGCCUAUUUCGUCAUAAGCGCCGAUUUAACAACAAAAAAGAAGAUAAUGCGGUGUAAAAACGAAGAAUAAUCUUAUUGGCCCAAAAGGAAUAAAAUGUAAUAUCGAAGUUUGAAUUGAAAAAUAUUAAAGCAUCGAACUCCGACCCCCGUCGACUAAGGAACCAACAAGAGACCGAAAAGACCCUUUCUGUUGGGUUACUUGAUCAGAAAUCUAUUUCGAAUUGCUUCUACUGUCUUAAGAAAAUGGAAAGAGAUAUAAUGUGGUAUUAGAUACAUUGUUUAAGAAGAGGAACAAAACAGUCACAGCUGAGAAAGUUUUGAUUGGACAUGUACUAUAAAGAAACAUGAAAACAUGAUCUGUACUUAAAACAACAACCUCAGCUCCGUUUUAGAUUUAAUUUGGGGAAGAAAAAGACAUCAUCAGAAAUGAUACAAUACAUUCAAGAUAGGAAACAAUCUGAAAAAUUGACUUACAAUACACUAAUCAAUGGACAACAGCUUGAAUAGUUUAUAACAUGUGUGUUGAUUGCCGUAGAGGUGCCCGGAACGAUCGGGGGCAAGGUGAAGGUCAGCAGAGCAAAAAGUGAGAGAAAAAAAACGGGCGAAAAUCUUGGCAGCAGGAAAUAAAAACCGUUGACAACGAUAAUUCUUGAGAGACGGAAUUUUAAAAUAAAUGGCAAUCGAUGAAUAUUUCAUGCGACACGCAUUCUCUGUACACAAUAGCUAAUAACACGUUAAUAGAAAAUCGCAGGUAAAAAGC